ensembl:lncRNA
CUCUGAGCUGAAGAUCAUACAAAAAAAAGCUGGUUAUGUUUACUCCCUGAUCCAUCUAAUUUCUGUAACGAGGACCGAGCGCGCCUCAUCUCCUUACCGCGCCACGCUUAAGCCAAGGCGUUGGGCUGGAGAGGCGCCUCGGGCCCCCGCAGGGCACUGUGGAGCCUCAACCACGCCGCUCAGCCGCGAAGACGAGACCGGGGCCUUAACCGGAUUAACUCCCAACCGGCACCAGGCUAACUGCUGUGACCCCGGCAUCAGUCACCAUCAGCCCACAGACGGCCUCUCAUUUGACCGUCUGAGGAAUUCACCAGCCUAUUCAACGCCGGAGCUGCUGUAAGACUACACUGCUGUCAUCCAAAUCAACGCAUUUCCUCUAUCUGGACUCGACACGACUGCGGCAAGCGUGGACCCCGGCCCGGUCUUUCCUUCCCUCCCAAGGGGCUGUAAUCAUUGCCAUGCUGGUGUCCUGGACUCCAUGGGUCCCCGUGGGGGCCCCUUCCCUCCUCCGUAGGAAUCCGGGUACGGCCGAGUGACGGAGCAAGUUCAGGCCGCCGCCUGCCUCUGAGUGCGCGCACGUGCACAGCAGAUAUCCGGGGGAUUUGUGUAGAAGGGUGACAGGACGUAUCAGCAAAGUGGAGUAUCAUGGCCGGUUCUGCCCAAAGCACCAGCUAGUCUGCGUGUCCUGUGGUCUUCCUGCCUCCACCCGGGCUGCUCGUGCCCAAACUGUCGCAGAGGUACUGAGAUGAGAUCGGAUGUGUCGCAGGGUUCUGAUCUUAUUCCUCCUUCCGCGCUUUUUUAGUGAUAAAUGCAAUCCGCAAUUCAGAUUACGCGAUACUAGAUUUUGAUUUAUGCAUUUCAAAAGAGUACAUCGUCACAGUGUCCAAAGGUGAUACAGAUGCACACACACUUUUUUUUAAAAGCACCUAAAUGGGGGAAUUCCUUGAACAUGAGGGUGAGGGAAAAGAG